UUUCUUUUUGCCAACUCUAUUCAUCACUCCAAAGCCCUAAGGAAGCCCUGUUACUGUCCAACUGGACCCUCCUCCCCACCGCCCCCGCUGCCCCAAACAGAAGACAGUUUGCAAGGACCAGGCUGAUUCUGGGAUGUGAAUGCAGCAGAACGAAGCGUGUGGUGUGAAGAGUGGAUGAAGAAAACAACAAACCAAGAAAUAUUUAAGUUUGUAAAGUGUGACAAAUGAAUCGUCUUGGGGAAGGCUCAAAACAGCCUGUUUGAGGACAACAUUUUGAGGGCAAGGACUUUCCUCUUAGGCACCAGGAAGUCUCAUCUCUUCCUAAUUUUAAAAGUUUCUUGUCCUUUGUUGAAUUUCUAUCCAAUGUCCUAUAUUUCCCCAAGAGGCUCCAGAGGCGUAAGGAAGAAAGAAAGCAGCAGAGAGGCCACUUCAGAAGUGAGUUUGUGGGACUUUCCCCCACACAUGGGGCACACAUGACAUCAGGCAUAAGCCUCACGAUCCUGUCCUGCGCAGCACCAGCCAGUCCUGUUCUAGAGAAGCCUUUAGAACCAGCCUCGCUUUAUGAGCAACAGAACAGAUGUUCAAGGCGGGCAGGGAGUGGGGUUUGGAAGGUUUCCUUUCCACCACCCCAGGGUGGCCCUUAGCUUCUGACUUGGAGCUGAACCUCCGUGCCUUUCUCUGUGUCGUGGGGCAGCAGCCAUGUGGGCGCGAGGGCCCCAGCCCAGUCCCCAGCCUUCCCACGGGAACAAGGAGGAAGAAAUAACAAAGAAAAUGCCAAGAAAAUCAGCCUCAUGAGCCAGGAAGCCUGGAGCCUUGCUCAGCGGCACAGGCCACAGCAGAAGUGCCAGGUGGUUAGAAGGCCUGGGGAGGCGGGUGUGGCAGCCGCCAAGUCACUGAGAGGCUGUGCUCAGGUGGGGAUUUCUCAGCACCACCUGGUCCAUGCAGUGAGUUCACGGAGACCAAAACAGCCACCACCACAUGGCUCGGGGAUACUGUCUGCAGACGAGGGAGCCCCAGGCGCCAGACCCCUCCUUGGCCGAGGACCACUGUCCCUACGGACUGUGCUCGCUGAUGGAGGCGCAGAGGAUGGGGAGAGCCAGCAACGCUGCUGGGAACAAGCACGGGACAGAAAAGUGAAGGCUGGUGCUGACACACAGAGGGAAACUUUACAGUCAGGAGUUUUCUACUUCCUCAUUCAUUCAGGAACGUAGAUUCUGUGGCGCGGCCGACACUGAUGAGCCAAACAGGAAUGACCCAACCACGAGGGAGCUACAUUUUAGUGGCAAGAUAAACAAAUAGAGCUUGUCAAAUAAAGGCAAAGGCUGUGGAGAGAGGAGGACUGAGAGGGACCAGGUCUGGUGAGCAGGGAGCGGUCAGCAGGGCGGCCUGGGGGGUGACUCUGCACCAGGACAGAAGGAUGCCAGUCCAUUGGACCCCGUCCUCUGGAGUGAAGAGCGCAGGCCUGGCAGGCGUGCCCGGCUCAAUCCCGCCUUGUGCGCCCGCUGGACAAGGGCCCUCAGUGAAGGACUUGGCACCAGCCCCGCUGCGGCAAAGAGCAUCCGAGGGCGGAGAUGGGAUAUUUCCAGUAAGAGGAGGAAGUGGUGAAGCAGGGAGCGAUGGGGAGACUGCCCUCUGGAAGUGUCUGGAAGUGUCCCAGGCCCAGGCCACCUCCCACUGUCCUUCCGAGACACGAUGCUGAGGCCUCAGGGGCAGAGACAGUACGCUGGCUCGGAGCAAUAGCAGCUUUGCUCUACAUCCGUGGCUGCAGGGCUAUGAGACAGGUGCAGGGAAACAACCUGGGCCAGAGGACUGAGGUGACAGGGACCUAGCACCUUAGAUCACCCACAGGAGCCCUCAAGCUGGCCCUUGGUCCUCCAUCACUCUCUGAGUCUCUCUGAGCAGAAGCAGAGAAAUCUCAGCUCCAGAAAGGCCAACGCCCCUGGAAGCCUGCAUUUCUGAGACAUCAAGGUUUAAGUGUCACUGUGGCAUAAUUUCAUCAAGGCUGAGAUGCUGUCAUCCAUGGGGAUGAAGGACGGAGCAGUGUUUUAUGUUUUGGAAAGAAUAGAAACAUGCUGCCGGGGAAACUGUCACGUGUUGUUGGUGGGAAGUUGCAUUGUGAAUUCAAGGAUGUCAAAAUGUUUGGGAAAGGAGUGUUUGAGAGUUAAAGAUGCUGCCCCUUUGGGCAGGAUGCCCUCUCGUUGCCUGUGAAACAAGUGGCAGGCAGACCAGUGUUGAAAAUGUACCAGACACUCAGAUGCCUCUGAUCAGUCCUUCUGUGAAUGCGGGAACUUCUCCUCCAUGAAGUUGUGUCCCCUCGGUGGGAGCAGCACCCCUGCCUGGGGACAUGUGGAGUUUCUCCUGGGAAUAAGGUGUCUGGACCCAGGGGACCCUGUUAUGUAGUCUUGGCCCAAGGCCACAUGGCCGGAAGUGACUGUGGGGUCCAGAUCUUCAGAGGCAGGGCUUGUGGCUCCACAGGAAUCUGCCAAGCAGUGUGUGUCGGCACUUGUCAUGGCAGGCUGGUCAGGGGACCCAUCUCCAGCCACUGGGUAUGUCACUGGACCACACACACUCUCACCUACAUACACUCCCCACACAGACACAUAAUCACCCUCAGACACAAAACUCACACUCACACUCAUUCAGUGCCCACCUUCACCACCACCACCAGAUGGAAAUGGCCUAUUGGCAGGGGAGAAGGUGUUCCUGGAGAUGGGGGUGGGGGUUUCAGCAGGGGAAAGAAUCAUCCUGAAGCCUCAAGGGGGAUCUAUCACAUCUGCUGGGCAGAAAACUUAUUCUCUAUGAAAAAAGAAGGGAAACCAUGCUGACACUCCAAGCUGUUGAUGGUUGUGAGAAGGCUCUUUGGAAUCCCACACCACACGCACAGGCGCACACACGUGUGCACCACACAUACAUACACACCACACAUACCACAAACACACACCUCACUCAUGAAUUUGCAUCCUGGGAUGGCCCUCAGAUUUCCUUCUCUUGAUAAAGAAGCUAUUGGGUUUUUCUUUCCUGGAUACAUAAACCUCAGAGCCAGUUGGAAGUUACCAAAUUAUCAAUUCCAGUUUAAAUUAUUUCCCACUUUAACCAGAAUAUUGCUGGCAAACUUACAUUGACUAUAAACCAUAUCACAAGGAAUGUCCAAGUUCACAUUUUUCCCUUUUGCAAACAACUUGUGUUUACCUCUUUCUACACUGGCACCUUGGAAUCAAAUAUAUCUCUCCCAGACCAAGCCUGAGACAAGGGAGGCCCUUGAAAUGGUGUUCCUGGUGGGACCUCAUCUGUGGGCCAAAGGUCCCAGAGACACCCUGUCCUGAGAAAGUAAACCUUGGACAGAAAGUGACUCCAGCCUUGAGCAGCCCCACCAGGGAACUGGGCCAUGCAGCAGGUUUGCCAUCUCACGGUGAGGCCCCUGGCUUUUAUACAAGGACGCUGUUUAUCCACGGUGGUAAAACCCCAGUCCCUGGGCCCCCAAAUCCUUGGGCCCUGAGCUUGUGGUAGGGGUACAGGAGGGAGGCAGUUGUAGGGUUGGGGUCCUAGCAGAGGGAAGGAGAAGCCUCCUGUGCAACAGUCUAGAAACUCACUAUGGCCGAGGUGCCGUGAUUGGCCCACCCUGUGCCUCCUCCUGCGGGGAAGUGGCUGGCAGGGUCUGGGGCCGUGUGUCUGUCAGGUUGUCAGGUUCCCACUCUUCCCUCAGCUUUCAUCCUGGGCGGGGCUCUGAGCAUCCUUGUCCCCACGGGGGUGCCUGGGGAGCAGUUAUGAUAAAUUCCCAGAUGUUGCCCCUAGAGCCUUUGAUGCAGCAAGCCUCACAUGUCUAAUAAACACCGUGCAUUACUCUGACAUAGCUUGUCUAGUUCCCAAAUGUGAUGCUUUUCCUUACACAUAAGGGGCUCCUCAGAGGAGCAAGACAAGAAAGCAGAGUUCAAAUCAGUGUGCAUUUGUCCUUGUUAGCAAAUCUGGAAAGCAAACAGACACAUCUAACUAUGGAUUUCCAGUCCCAGUGGGUUCUCUCACGUCCACCCCAGCUGGCACAGUGGUAUUAAAUGCAUCCAUCUCUUAUGUUAUAAACCCAGAUGCUUACAUUGGGCUGCAUUGCGGAGAGGAUUUUAAAGCCUCUCACAAAACUCAUCUGAUAUAAGCUGAAGUGAGAUUGAUAAGAAGAGAUGGGAAACAAUACAGACUAAAAGUCAAAACUGCUCAAUUUGAAAAGAGAAAUGUUCACAGUUAAGUAGAAACAUUUCAACCCAGUUCUUACACUUCACUACCUCCUGAAAACAGGAUCCUAUGUACCCUGUACAGUCAGUAUCAUCACUAUGACUGAAAUGUUCUAAAAACUUUAAAAAUUCAAAAACACCCAACUUUUAAUAGAGAACUAAUACAUUGUCAGGCAGAAAUCUGGAAGAUAAAGGAUCAGUGAUGGGAAAAAAUCAGCUUCAGCACUGAGCUGUGCUUCCCGCAGGGUGGAAGUCAGAAUGAAUCAGCACGUCCAUAAGGACAAAUGGGACGUAAUAGAAUUGCGAUUACACUAUGAUAAGUUUUUUUUUUUCAGUUGGCUUUAUAUGAAAUACUCAGAGCCCUCAAAUUUAUAGAGAAAGAAAGUAGAUGCCUAGGGCUGGGGAGUCGUGAGGGGAGGUGAGAGGAAAGGAGAGUGACUGCUGGUGAGUAAAAAGUUUCUUAUUAGAGAGAAAAAAAUGUUCUAAAAUGAUUGUGAUGAUGGAGCUACUCUGUAAAUCUAUUAAAGACCAUUGAAUUGUACACUGUAAUUGGGUGAACUUUACAGUGUGUGAAUUAUAUGUCAGUAAAAUACUUCAGUUAGUGGCCUACUAGGAUUUCACAAAAUAAAUUCCAUAUUUUCUUUGCAA